ensembl:lncRNA
CGGAGCAGUGCCGGACGCGGAAGCGGGCGCGGCGGCGGCUCUGAUCCGGCCCUUUGCUGUCGGCCGGCCGCGGGGCCAGGCCCGGAGCUGGAGCGGCGGGCGGAGGGAGACCGCAAGGAGAUCCCAGCUGGGCGCCAGGAAAGCACAACUGAAGCGCCGGCCGGCAGCAUGGUGAACGAGAGGCGCGAGGGCGGGCUGCUGGUGCACCUGGGCCCCCAGCUGCAGGCCUACCCGCAGGAGCUGCUGCGGCAGCGGCGCGGCCCCGACGGCGCCCCGGAGUACCUGGUGCGGUGGCGCGUGGUCGGCGCGGAGGAGCGGG